AACUCUCAAUUAUUAGUGCAGUAGGCAAAUUUGAUACACAUACGUGGGUGUUGGUUGUAGGAUAUAGAAGAAUAACGGCGCCAUUCUAAAGCGCCAAGUCGCGGUCAUGGCGUGCGUGGUUCAAGUGCGGCAUGUGUGGUAGUCGAUGGUAAUAGCGUUGGUGGUGGGAGCGGUGUUGUUGUGUUGGAAGUGGUAGUGGUGACUGACGAUAGGCGGAUAACAAGGAUUUCGCAUAAGAAAAACAGGGAGGGAAAGAAACCGAAAGUAUACCAUAAGAAAAAAGGUAGGUAAUAUGAUUUGAAAUGAAAUCCCUUCGUCGUCCAUCGUUUAUGACGGAUUGCGCGGCAGUGGUG